rnacentral:rRNA from 1 species
UACGGGGGGGGCAAGCGUUGUUCGGAAUUACUGGGCGUAAAGGGCUCGUAGGCGGCCAACUAAGUCAGACGUGAAAUCCCUCGGCUUAACCGGGGAACUGCGUCUGAUACUGGAUGGCUUGAAUCCGGGAGAGGGAUGCGGAAUUCCAGGUGUAGCGGUGAAAUGCGUAGAUAUCUGGAGGAACACCGGUGGCGAAGGCGGCAUCCUGGACCAACACUGACGCUGAGGCGCGAAAGCGUGGGGAGCAAACAGG